AAUUUUGGACAAUGGGGGAAACCCUGAUCCAGCCAUCCCGCGUGUAUGAUGAAGGCCUUCGGGUUGUAAAGUACUUUUGGCAGAGAAGAAAAGGUAUCCCCUAAUACGAGAUACUGCUGACGGUACCUGCAGAAUAAGCACCGGCUUACUACGUCCCAGCAGCCGCGGUAAUACGUAGGGUGCAAGCGUUAAUCGGAAUUACUGGGCGUAAAGCGUGUGUAGGCGGGUCGGAAAGAUAGAUGUGAAAUCCCAGGGCUCAACCUUGGAGCUGCAUUUAUAACUGCCGAGCUAGGGUAUGUCAGAGGGGGGUAGAAUACCACGUGUAGCAGUGAAAUGCGUAGAUAUGUAGAGGAAUACCGAUGGCGAAGGCAGCCCCCUGGGAUAAUACUGACGCUCAGACACGAAAACGUGGGGAGCAAACA
rnacentral:rRNA from 1 species